AGAGUUUGAUCAUGGCUCAGAUUGAACGCUGGCGGCAGGCCUAACACAUGCAAGUCGAACGGUAGCACAGAGGAGCUUGCUCCUUGGGUGACGAGUGGCGGACGGGUGAGUAAUGUCUGGGAAACUGCCCGAUGGAGGGGGAUAACUACUGGAAACGGUAGCUAAUACCGCAUAACGUCUUCGGACCAAAGUGGGGGACCUUCGGGCCUCACACCAUCGGAUGUGCCCAGAUGGGAUUAGCUAGUAGGUGGGGUAACGGCUCACCUAGGCGACGAUCCCUAGCUGGUCUGAGAGGAUGACCAGCCACACUGGAACUGAGACACGGUCCAGACUCCUACGGGAGGCAGCAGUGGGGAAUAUUGCACAAUGGGCGCAAGCCUGAUGCAGCCAUGCCGCGUGUAUGAAGAAGGCCUUCGGGUUGUAAAGUACUUUCAGCGGGGAGGAAGGCGAUGUGGUUAAUAACCGCGUCGAUUGACGUUACCCGCAGAAGAAGCACCGGCUAACUCCGUGCCAGCAGCCGCGGUAAUACGGAGGGUGCAAGCGUUAAUCGGAAUUACUGGGCGUAAAGCGCACGCAGGCGGUCUGUCAAGUCGGAUGUGAAAUCCCCGGGCUUAACCUGGGAACUGCAUUCGAAACUGGCAGGCUUGAGUCUCGUAGAGGGGGGUAGAAUUCCAGGUGUAGCGGUGAAAUGCGUAGAGAUCUGGAGGAAUACCGGUGGCGAAGGCGGCCCCCUGGACGAAGACUGACGCUCAGGUGCGAAAGCGUGGGGAGCAAACAGGAUUAGAUACCCUGGUAGUCCACGCUGUAAACGAUGUCGACUUGGAGGUUGUUCCCUUGAGGAGUGGCUUCCGGAGCUAACGCGUUAAGUCGACCGCCUGGGGAGUACGGCCGCAAGGUUAAAACUCAAAUGAAUUGACGGGGGCCCGCACAAGCGGUGGAGCAUGUGGUUUAAUUCGAUGCAACGCGAAGAACCUUACCUGGCCUUGACAUCCACAGAACUUAGCAGAGAUGCUUUGGUGCCUUCGGGAACUGUGAGACAGGUGCUGCAUGGCUGUCGUCAGCUCGUGUUGUGAAAUGUUGGGUUAAGUCCCGCAACGAGCGCAACCCUUAUCCUUUGUUGCCAGCGAUUCGGUCGGGAACUCAAAGGAGACUGCCGGUGAUAAACCGGAGGAAGGUGGGGAUGACGUCAAGUCAUCAUGGCCCUUACGGCCAGGGCUACACACGUGCUACAAUGGCGCAUACAAAGAGAAGCGACCUCGCGAGAGCAAGCGGACCUCAUAAAGUGCGUCGUAGUCCGGAUCGGAGUCUGCAACUCGACUCCGUGAAGUCGGAAUCGCUAGUAAUCGUAGAUCAGAAUGCUACGGUGAAUACGUUCCCGGGCCUUGUACACACCGCCCGUCACACCAUGGGAGUGGGUUGCAAAAGAAGUAGGUAGCUUAACCUUCGGGAGGGCGCUUACCACUUUGUGAUUCAUGACUGGGGUGAAGUCGUAACAAGGUAGCCGUA
rnacentral:rRNA from 1 species